rnacentral:lncRNA from 1 species
UUUCAAGCACUCCGAGAUUGCAGGCUCCUCACGGGUCGUUUUAUGCAAAACGAAUGGCAGGUAAUUGUGAUUUAAUUCUUUUCAAGUAAAUUACAGUGAGUGCGUGACACAAAGCCGCGCGGCAGACCCUCCUUGCUCUGUCAAUAGUUGAAUUAAUGAUGGCAGGAGUAAAAACAGCAAUUGUGCACAAGAGCCCUCCCCCGGCCCCCCACCCCUGCCAAGGGGAGAUCUGCCAAUCAGGCCGCGCCACCAAGAGACUGGGAAUCCUUGGGUCGCCGAGGUUCGGGGGAUGGAACGUUCGGGUGUCUCGGCGCGGGGGUCGCGGAGCCCGGGCUCGCCCAGAGCCGAGGUGCCCGCAGGGGUCAGCGUCUGCGCGCUACGGGCCGGGCGCCCACCGCGUGGUCUCCGGGGGCACCGGGGGCACCAGGGGCUUAUGGCGCUGGACAUGCGCGGCCGAGCUGACGACAGAAAUGAUUCCUAGGGCGGGCGGGUGGUCCUGGGCGCUUUGAUAGUAGGUUAACCUGGCCACGCUCGCCUCCCUGAGAGACACCCCAGAAGGCUCCCGAAGGAGGGGUCUCCGGAGGAAACAGGCUCAGAGCAGACACAGAGCUUGAUGAAGUUACAUAGCCACGAAGUGACGGGGUCUGACCAUCAAACCAGAGCCUGCAGUCCUAACCACCACACUGCACUCUCCCUCUGGCUUAGUUUCCAAGAUGGACAAGAUACAGCCCUGGCGGUCCAAGGGCACAGAGCAUCAGAAGGACACAGAGCCCCCAGGGCACCCCUGAGGCACCCCCGGAGUUCCAGGGAGCACAGUUUGAAAGCACAGUAUUACAGGAGUGCGCGCCAUAAGCAGAAUGAAAAACGCUUUCUAAAAUCUACCUGCCCCCAACCAAACCUGGAUUGGAAGCUUCUUGAGGGCCAGCAGCACCUGGCGCCUGCUGAAAACACAAGUGUCUGUGAAGUGGAUGGAGGAGUGAAGCCUUUGUUUUCAUUUCCGAGGUCUGGCUCAGCUUCUCAGUCCCGGGACGCCCUCGCUGCAGUCCUUCAUGACCCUGUAAGGCAGGCGACAGUCUCCGGCUGCUCCCGGAUGGCGAGUUUGCGCUUUCCUUGCCUUUGUAUCAGAAUGAUUUGUGGCUUCUCAGGUGGAACGGCUGGUGAUAUAAUUAACAUUUCAAAACUUCGCAACCACAAAUUGAAUUUGUUUUGAAUAUUUGGGGAUGUUUAAACAGUAGCUUGAGUGUUAAAUUUGCACUUUAUGGGAG